rnacentral:lncRNA from 1 species
CAAAAAAACAAAAAUAUAUAUAGAUCACCGUGCUUGUUUUCGAGAUAUUUACCAUUGAAAUUUUUGCGGGAAAAUAUUCUCUCUUGACUUUUCAUAGCUUUAUCAUUGAAGUUCUCAAAAACUGUUAAAAAGUAAUUAAAAUUUUAUAAGACUUUUACAGAUGGCUUAUCAUUAUACAUGUUAAAGAUUUACAAAAAGAAAAAUGGGGGUCACUGGGC